AGCAACACAUCAACAAUACAAAUAGCCCUCUCUAUUAUAAACAAGACUCAGUAUAAAUAAUAGUUGAGUGAUAUAGAAUAAAACUGAAGUUUAGCUGACAAAUGCAUGUGGUAACGGUUAAUAUAUUGGCUCCUGGCUGCCAGUCCUUCUGCGGAUGUAGUACGCCAUCAAAUCCACAGAAAAAUAAGUCAGUCUGUCUGUCAGCCGAUGAUGAAUAACAGAGGAUUUUUGAAAACACCGGCGGGUCUGUAACAAAGUUGCUUUGAUGAUGCUAGCUUGAUUUUCUGAAUAAAACUGUAAACUGGAAUUGUGGGCAAUUUUCAUUCAGCAAGGCAGGGAUUCCUUACUCACUCAGUGCCAGGAUCACGCUGCUGUGGACUGUGCCAAUGAUAAUCACGAAAGUCUGAGCUAGCUGUCUACUGAGAAUUUGUCAGUGCGUCCAACUGGCCUCACAACCGCAGACCACAUGUAACCAUGCGAGCCCACAACCUCCACAUCCGGCUUCUUCACCUCCGGGAUCGUCUGAGACCAGCUAUCUGGACAGCUGAUGAAGCUGAGUAUUUCUGUCUGUAAUAAAGCCCCUUUGUGGGGAAAAACUCUGAUUGGCUGGGCCUGGCUUCCUAGUGGGAGGGCAUUGGCCGACUCGCUUGGGAGCCAGGCCCACCAUGGCUGUGCCCCUGCCCAGUCAUGUGAAAUACAUAGAUUAGUGCCUAAUUUGUUUAUUUCAAUUGACUGAUUUCCUUAUAUGAACUGUAACACAGUAACAUCAUUGAAAUUGUUGCAUGUUGCGUUUAUAUUUUUGUUCAGUGUAAAUUAGAAUUAGAUUGUAAAACUUGAAUAAAAAUAUAUAAAAAUACAAAAUGUACAUCAAUGUAAGUACAAAGAUUUUACCAUAUCCCAACCACCCUCCCUCCAUACAACACAUCCACCCAACCCCCCUAGUACCUUCCCUACCUCUCCGCCCCACCUCAGUCAGUCCACCCACCUCGGUUCCCAACCACCCACCCACCCCCAACCCCCUUCCAAC
rnacentral:lncRNA from 1 species